rnacentral:rRNA from 1 species
GAUGAACGCUGGCGGCGUGCCUAAUACAUGCAAGUCGAGCGAACGGACGAGAAGCUUGCUUCUCUGAUGUUAGCGGCGGACGGGUGAGUAACACGUGGAUAACCUACCUAUAAGACUGGGAUAACUUCGGGAAACCGGAGCUAAUACCGGAUAAUAUUUUGAACCGCAUUGUUCAAAAGUGAAAGACGGUCUUGCUGUCACUUAUAGGUGGAUCCGCGCUGCAUUAGCUAGUUGGUAAGGUAACGGCUUACCAAGGCAACGAUGCAUAGCCGACCUGAGAGGGUGAUCGGCCACACUGGAACUGAGACACGGUCAAGACUCCUACGGGAGGCAGCAGUAGGGAAUCUUCCGCAAUGGGCGAAAGCCUGACGGAGCAACGCCGAGUGAGUGAUGAAGGUCUUCGGAUCGUAAAACUCUGUUAUUAGGGAAGAACAUAUGUGUAAGUAACUGUGCACAUCUUGACGGUAACUAAUCAGAAAGCCACGGCUAACUACGUG